CAGUAGCCGCGGUAAUACGAAGGGUGCAAGCGUUACUCGGAAUUACUGGGCGUAAAGCGUGCGUAGGUGGUGGUUUAAGUCCGUUGUGAAAGCCCUGGGCUCAACCUGGGAAUUGCAGUGGAUACUGGGUCACUAGAGUGUGGUAGAGGAUAGUGGAAUUUCCGGUGUAGCAGUGAAAUGCGUAGAGAUCGGAAGGAACAUCUGUGGCGAAGGCGACUAUCUGGGCCAACACUGACACUGAGGCACGAAAGCGUGGGGAACAAACAGGAUUAGAUACCCCCGUAGUCCCUGUCUCUUAUAC
rnacentral:rRNA from 1 species